CCUACGUGAGGCAGCAGUGAGGAAUAUUGGUCAAUGGCCGGAAGGCUGAACCAGCCAUGCCGCGUGAAGGACAGUGCCCUAUGGGCGUUAAACUUCUUUUGUGCGGGAGCAAUAAUGGUCACGGUUGGCCAGACGAGAGUACCCUACGAAUAAGCAUCGGCUAACUCCGUGCCAGCAGCCGCGGGAAUAAGGGGGAUGCCAGCGGUUUCCGGAUUUAUUGGGGUUAAAGGGGGGGUAUGUGGGUUGUUAAGUCAGUGGUGAAAGUUUGCGGGGCAAACGUAGAAUUGCAAUUGAUACUGGCAGUCUUGAGUACAGUUGAGGUAGGCGGAAUGCGUGGUGUAGCGGUGAAAUGCUUAGAUAUCACGAAGAACUCCGAUUGCGAAGGCAGCUUACUAAACUGCCACUGACAUUGAUGCUCGAAAGUGUGGGUAUCGAACAGGAUUAGAUACCCCAGUAGUC
rnacentral:rRNA from 1 species